CCUGGUGGCGAGUGGCGAACGGGUGAGUAAUGCAUCGGAACGUGCCCUGAAGUGGGGGAUAACGCAGCGAAAGUUGCGCUAAUACCGCAUAUUCUGUGAGCAGGAAAGCAGGGGAUCGCAAGACCUUGCGCUUUAGGAGCGGCCGAUGUCGGAUUAGCUAGUUGGUGGGGUAAAGGCUCACCAAGGCGACGAUCCGUAGCGGGUCUGAGAGGAUGAUCCGCCACACUGGGACUGAGACACGGCCCAG
rnacentral:rRNA from 1 species